GCCAGCCCGCUCAGAAACUUAAAGGAAUGACGGGGCCCGCACAAGCGUGGAGUAUGUGGUUUAAUUCGAUGCAACGCGAAGAACCUUACCUGGUCUUGACAUCCCGGAGACCCUUAGGAAACUAGGGGGUGCUUCCAUCUGGAAGAAUCUGGAGACAGGUGCUGCAUGGCUGUCGUCAGCUCGUGUCGUGAGAUGUUGGGUUAAGUCCCGCAACGAGCGCAACCCUUGCCUUUAGUUGCCAGCAGUUCGGCUGGGCACUCUAAAGGGACUGCCGGUGUUAAACCGGAGGAAGGUGGGGAUGACGUCAAGUCCUCAUGGCCUUUAUGACCAGGGCUACACACGUACUACAAUGGCCGAUACAAAGGGCAGCGACACUGCGAGGUGAAGCCAAUCCCGUAAAAUCGGUCUCAGUCCGGAUUGGAGUCUGCAACUCGACUCCAUGAAGUUGGAAUCGCUAGUAAUCGUGGAUCAGCAUGCCACGGUGAAUACGUUCCCGGGCCUU
rnacentral:rRNA from 1 species